UACGUAGGUGGCAAGCGUUAUCCGGAUUUACUGGGUGUAAAGGGCGUGUAGGCGGGAGUGCAAGUCAGAUGUGAAAACUAUGGGCUCAACCCAUAGCCUGCAUUUGAAACUGUACUUCUUGAGUGCUGGAGAGGCAAUCGGAAUUCCGUGUGUAGCGGUGAAAUGCGUAGAUAUACGGAGGAACACCAGUGGCGAAGGCGACUUACUGGACUGUAACUGACGCUGAGGCAUGAGAGCAUGGGGAGCAAACAGG
rnacentral:rRNA from 1 species